AGAUUGAACGCUGGCGGCAUGCUUUACACAUGCAAGUCGAACGGCAGCACGGGGGCAACCCUGGUGGCGAGUGGCGAACGGGUGAGUAAUGCAUCGGAACGUAUCUUUAAGUGGGGGAUAACGCAUCGAAAGAUGCGCUAAUACCGCAUAAUCUCUGAGGAGAAAAGCGAGGGGAUCGCAAGACCUUGCGCUUUUGGAGCGGCCGAUGUCUGAUUAGCUAGUUGGUGGGUAAAGGCUUACCAAGGCUUCGAUCAGUAGCUGGUCUGAGAGGACGACCAGCCACACGUGGGACUGGACGACGACGGUCCCAGGACCUCCGUACGGGA
rnacentral:rRNA from 1 species